GAUCCUGGCUCAGGAUGAACGCUAGCUGCAGGCUUAACACAUGCAAGUCGAGGGGAAACGACAUCGAAAGCUUGCUUUUGAUGGGCGUCGACCGGCGCACGGGUGAGUAACGCGUACCCAACCUGCCCACCACUUGGGGAUAACCUUGCGAAAGUAAGACUAAUACCCAAUGAUAUCUCUAGAAGACAUCUGAAAGAGAUUAAAAGAUUCAUCGGUGAUGGAUGGGGAUGCGU
rnacentral:rRNA from 1 species